rnacentral:lncRNA from 13 species
GAAAGAAGCCACUUCAUGUGUAGAAGCAUGUCCUAGAAGACAACUGCUAAAGAGAAGGGAGCAGUAGAAGGAAAAAAAAAGGAGGAAAAAAAUCUUCAAAGCAAAUGAAAAGAAACAGACUUCUUCAAAACAAGAGAGGAAAUUGGAAAAAGAACAUUUGGGGAAGAAAAAAGCACGUGGAAUUUCUCUAAACAGAAGAGUUUUAACUUUAGAAAUAAUCUUGAUGGGUGGACUCAAGAUGGCGCUGUGAGAACAACCCAGGAUUGGAGUUCUCGUUGUGUCUGCGGAGAGGUGAGUCUGAGCUGCAUUUCCAGACUGAUCUUUGUUGCUCACGGAACGGGGAAAUUCCCAAGUGAAGAGGAGACGCGGGACGCCAGGCAGAUAUUACGCCUGGCGAAGCCGGCAGCCGGGGUGGCGGCGGCCGGC